rnacentral:rRNA from 1 species
UACGUAGGGACCAAGCGUUGUUCGGAUUUACUGGGCGUAAAGGGCGCGUAGGCGGCAAUUCAAGUCAUCUGUGAAAUCUCCGGGCUUAACCCGGAACGGUCAGAUGAUACUGCUUUGCUAGAGUGCGGGAAGGGGCAAUCGGAAUUCUCGGUGUAGCGGUGAAAUGCGUAGAUAUCAAGAGGAACACCUGCGGCGAAGGCGGGUUGCUGGGCCGACACUGACGCUGAAGCGCGAAAGCUAGGGGAGCGAACAGG